GGGGCGAAGAUAAGACGGAUUAGCGGCGGACGGGUGAGUAACACGUGAGUAACCUGCCUUUUACACAGGGAUAGCCUCGGGAAACCGGGNUUAAAACCUGAUGAAACUAUCAAAUCACAUGAUUAAGAAAGUUAAAACUCCGGUGGUAAAAGAUGGACUCGCGUCCCAUUAGCUAGUUGGUGAAGGUAACGGCCCACCAAGGCAACGAUGGGUAGCCGGCCUGAGAGGGUGAACGGCCACAUUGGAACUGAGAAACGGUCCAAACUCCUACGGGAGGCAGCAGCG
rnacentral:rRNA from 1 species